GGGGGGGGCAAGCGUUGUUCGGAAUUACUGGGCGUAAAGGGCGCGUAGGCGGCCUGCUAAGUCGGACGUGAAAUCCCCCGGCUCAACCGGGGAACUGCGUCCGAUACUGGUGGGCUCGAAUCCGGGAGAGGGAUGUGGAAUUCCAGGUGUAGCGGUGAAAUGCGUAGAUAUCUGGAGGAACACCGGUGGCGAAGGCGGCAUCCUGGACCGGCAUUGACGCUGAGGCGCGAAAGCCAGGGGAGCAAACGGGAUUAGAUACCCCGGUAGUCCUGGCCCUAAACGAUGAGUGCUUGGUGUGGCGGGUAUCGAUCCCUGCCGUGCCGAAGCUAACGCAUUAAGCACUCCGCCUGGGGAGUACGGUCGCAAGGCUGAA
rnacentral:rRNA from 1 species